rnacentral:rRNA from 1 species
UACAGAGGGGGCAAGCGUUGUUCGGAAUUACUGGGCGUAAAGGGCGCGUAGGCGGCCUUCUAAGUCGAACGUGAAAUCCCCGGGCUCAACCCGGGAACUGCGUCCGAUACUGGAAGGCUUGAAUCCGGGAGAGGGAUGUGGAAUUCCAGGUGUAGCGGUGAAAUGCGUAGAUAUCUGGAGGAACACCGGUGGCGAAGGCGACAUCCUGGACCGGUAUUGACGCUGAGGCGCGAAAGCCAGGGAGCAAACGGG